UGGGGAAUAUUGCACAAUGGGCGCAAGCCUGAUGCAGCAACGCCGCGUGAACGAUGAAGGUCUUCGGAUCGUAAAGUUCUGUUGCAGGGGAAGAUAAUGACGGUACCCUGUGAGGAAGCCCCGGCUAACUACGUGCCAGCAGCCGCGGUAAUACGUAGGGGGCUAGCGUUAUCCGGAUUUACUGGGCGUAAAGGGUGCGUAGGUGGUCCUUCAAGUCGGUGGUUAAAGGCUACGGCUCAACCGUAGUAAGCCGCCGAAACUGGAGGACUUGUGUGCAGGAGAGGAAAGUGGAAUUCCCAGUGUAGCGGUGAAAUGCGUAGAUAUUGGGAGGAACACCAGUAGCGAAGGCGGCUUUCUGGACUGCAACUGACACUGAGGCACGAAAGCGUGGGUAGCAAACAGG
rnacentral:rRNA from 1 species